GCGCUCGUGGCCAAAUUGGAUAAGGCAUCGGGUUUCUACCCCGACGAGUGGGGGUUCGAGUCCCUCCGGGCGCGCCA
rnacentral:tRNA from 1 species